rnacentral:rRNA from 1 species
GAUGAACGCUGGCGGCGUGCCUAAUACAUGCCAGUCGAGCGAACAGACGAGGAGCUUGCUCCUUUGACGUUAGCGGCGGACGGGUGAGUAACACGUAGGUAACCUACCUAUAAGACUGGGAUAACUUCGGGAAACCGGAGCUAAUACCGGAUAAUAUUUCGAACCGCAUGGUUCGAUAGUGAAAGAUGGCUUUGCUAUCACUUAUAGACGGACCUGCGCCGUAUUAGCUAGUUGGUAAGGUAACGGCUUACCAAGGCAACGAUACGUAGCCGACCUGAGAGGGUGAUCGGCCACACUGGAACUGAGACACGGUCCAGACUCCUACGGGAGGCAGCAGUAGGGAAUCUUCCGCAAUGGGCGAAAGCCUGACGGAGCAACGCCGCGUGAGUGAUGAAGGUCUUCGGAUCGUAAAACUCUGUUAUUAGGGAAGAACAAACGUGUAAGUAACUGUGCACGUCCUGACGGUACCUAAUCAGAAAGCCACGGCUAACUACGUG